rnacentral:rRNA from 1 species
AUUGAACGCUGGCGGCAUGCUUUACACAUGCAAGUCGAACGGUAACAGGUUAAGCUGACGAGUGGCGAACGGGUGAGUAAUGCAUCGGAACGUGCCCGAUCGUGGGGGAUAACGCAGCGAAAGCUGCGCUAAUACCGCAUACGAUCUGAGGAUGAAAGCGGGGGACCGUAAGGCCUCGCGCGAUCGGAGCGGCCGAUGUCAUGUUAGGUAGUUGGUGGGGUAAAGGCCCACCAAGCCGACGAUCUGUAGCUGGUCUGAGAGGACGACCAGCCACACUGGGACUGCAACACAGGCCAGACUCCUACGGGGGGUCGCAUGGGGGAAUUUUGGAUAAGGGGAGAAAGACUAAUCCAGAAAUUCCGGGUUCAGGAAGAAGGCCUUCGGGUUGUAAACUGCUUUUGUACGGAGCGAAAAGGUCCUUUCUAAUGCAAGGGGCUCAUGACGGUACCGUAAGAAUAAGCACCGGCUAACUACGUGCCAGCAGCCGCGGUAA